rnacentral:misc_RNA from 1 species
GUGACACACUAGUUCCAGUUGUAUUUUGGAUUUGGUUUGACUCGUCUGUCCACGGAGUGAAGACUGGAGGAACUAUCAUUGGCUCGUGAGUAUGUCUUAUCCUUUGAGCAGAGAUGUUCUGAAAAGAAGUUCUGAUGAAAGUUUUUCAUACGACACGCCAAAGACAUUCUCUUUCAAUUAUCAUGGCCGCAGUAUGAUUAUAACGAGUUUUAGAGACCAUACUGGACGAAGUCUCAUUUGAAUCAGCUGAAUCGGGGAGGAGCGGAACACAUAUCGUUUCCAAUAUCAUUCUGAAAUUUUAUGAACGCAGCCUGCUUAAAUGAUUUAUUGACACAGGGUUUUUUAAUUUGAGGUUUUCCUAGUCAUCGCGAAUGUCAAAUAAAUAUAUCCUCCAAGAGACGUUGUUCGGUUAAUUAAAAUAAUCAUUCUGAUUUUGCCGGUCAUUUUUGGCCUGUUCGCCUUUCUGACGAAACCAUGUACAGUGAAGGACUAUAGCGAGACGUGUAAGUCUGUUGUAAAAGAGACUUCAAUGGUCAUUUGAAAUAUGAAUAUGAACGCUAUUUUGACAGUUGCUAAGGACACUUGCGUAUUUGUUUUAUUGUAGGAUACAGAAAGAGUG